CCUUUCUUUUCUCUCUCCCUUUCUUUGAUUUCGUUUUUUCUUUUCUCUCUCUCUUAUCUCUUUCUCCUAUUUCCUUUUCUCUUCAGCUCAGCCUCAAAACAACAGAGAGAUUCGAGUGGAGAAAUCGAGAGAAACCAGAUUCCAAACCAUAAACAGAGAUCAAACCAAAAGUAUUAAGCUGAUUUGUGAUUUUGUAUACCUAGAAAGUGGUAUCAAAACCCUAUUUUACAGAAUCGAAAGAAGCCAAAUUAAUUUUUCCUUUUAGCAUGAAACCCUCAUAAGAAGAUUCAAUUGAAGAAUUAAAAACCCUAGAAGAUCUCUAACCUCAGAAAAACAUUGAAGUGAAUUUUUUAGAAGGUUCAACUUUAAAUCCUUGAAGAUUCAGGUGGUGCAUGGAGACGAAGACAGGAAACCAUAGGAUACUAUGGAAAAGAAAAAGGAAAGUCUUUAACAUUGAUUGCUAUCUUUGAGAGUGCUUAGAAGAUGUACUUUAUUUAAAUAAUUCAAUUAAUUCUCUUGCAGUAUGUGACUUUGGAAUGUCAAUUAUCAAACGCCUGUCUCUAAAGCAGGAUGCACUGGGGGCUCAAUAUCUGCAAGUAUUGCUAUAGGAACCCGUUGCUUGAAUCAGAUCUUUAAGUCCUGGAGUAUAUAUAUGUAUCAAGUGUUCAGACGUUCAUAUAAGCCCCGGAGUUCUUAUAUUCAUGGUAUGGAAUCAGAACUUGAUAUUACCUUCAUUAGGACAUUAGACCUGUGUUUUAUCAUAUUUUAAUGUAUAACUUCUAUUGUAUUUUUCUGUGUAAACAUAUACACUAUGGUCCUGUGCAAGGUCUAACUUGGGUGACUGCCGUACUGCUUAUGAAGAUCAUUUUGAUGUUCAAGUCAUCAUUUGCUUUUAAUCUGGGGAAGGUAAUACAAAAUUUUCUGGUGGACAAAGCUGAUGCGGUGUCCUAUAACUUCUAGCCGAGAUAUCGUCAUAGGAUCCUUCUUAUGCUCCAUGGUUCCCUUGAUUGUAACUGGUUCAGAUUGUUGGAAUUACACAAUGAGGUGUCUUUUUUGUGUAUACAGUUCCUCCUCAGCUUUGAUAACAGAAAUCCUCUGCACAGUAUUCAGGGACAUAUUUGACUGGUAAUGAUCUUUUUUGUCCGGGUGAUUCAAGAGGGCCAAAGGAUGUGAGUCAACUGCAAGGCAUGCUGCUUAGUUCCUGAAGAAGAUUCUCACCAGCAACCAUGAUGAUCAAUGUGAAUUGAGCGACAUUUCUUCCGCUAUUGAUGCCCUUAAAAUCUCUCUUGUAGGAAUGAAGCUCAGUGUGCCUUUAUUGAACUCACAAUCAUGUAUGACUUGUGAAUCUACAUCAAGGGAGAUGACUUGUGAAUCUACGCAAAUGACUUGUGAAUGAAAUGCUUAUUGGGUCUGUCGCCAAAGAAGUAGUUAGGUGAGAAGUCGGAUCACAGUAAAUUCUUGGCACGAGGCAGUUAUAAGUCAAGGUUUUAGAUAGAAUUUGAGAGAUAUUACAGAAGGUGCCUCUAAAUUUGGUUACAAACAAAACUUUAAGGAAAUCGUCCAAGGUGUUAUGUUCCCUGGAGCUGGUUUAGACAAGGCAGUUGGCCUUGCAAGAGGCGCUCGUGAGCUCGUAACUGUUAGAGACCUCAAUUGUAGUGAGAGACUUGCAGUUAUAUGAAGCUGUUUUUUGUUAUAAUUUUGAGUAUCUUACACAUGUAAUUAUGACCGAGAUUGAUCAUGUUUGAAUUGUUCUUUUAUAUUUGAUGGGAAAUGGAAUGGCUGGAAGCUCUUGCCGUGUGCC